GGGUCAGUGGGUUGGUCGUGCCACCGGUACGUACUGGUCUCACUGAUUCCUCCUUCCUGAAGAACCGUAAUGCCAUUAAUUUGGUGUUGCGGGGAAACAGGACUGUUACUUUGAAAAAAUUAGAGUGUUUAAAGCAAGCUAACGCUUGAAUACAAUAGCAUGGAAUAAUGAAAUAGGACGAUCGAUCCUAUUUUGUUGGUUCCUAGGAUUGACGUA
rnacentral:rRNA from 1 species